rnacentral:piRNA from 1 species
UCUCUUCAGUGACAGUUGGCUCUUGGAAUU